rnacentral:rRNA from 1 species
ACCUGCCCCAGGCUUUGGGAUAACCCCGGGAAACCGGGGCUAAUACCGAAUAUGACCUCUGACCGCAUGGUUGGUGGUGGAAAGUUUUUCGGCUUGGGAUGGGCUCGCGGCCUAUCAGCUUGUUGGUGGGGUGAUGGCCUACCAAGGCGACGACGGGUAGCCGGCCUGAGAGGGCGACCGGCCACACUGGGACUGAGACACGGCCCAGACUCCUACGGGAGGCAGCAGUGGGGAAUAUUGCACAAUGGGCGGAAGCCUGAUGCAGCGACGCCGCGUGAGGGAUGACGGCCUUCGGGUUGUAAACCUCUUUCAGCAGGGACGAAGCGUAAGUGACGGUACCUGCAGAAGAAGCGCCGGCCAACUACGUGCCAGCAGCCGCGGUAAGACGUAGGGCGCGAGCGUUGUCCGGAUUUAUUGGGCGUAAAGAGCUCGUAGGCGGCUUGUCGCGUCGACCGUGAAAACCUGGGGCUCAACCCCAGGCCUGCGGUCGAUACGGGCAGGCUAGAGUUCGGUAGGGGAGACUGGAAUUCCUGGUGUAGCGGUGAAAUGCGCAGAUAUCAGGAGGAACACCGGUGGCGAA